AAUCUUGAUGCUCUAUAUAACCAAAGCAUCCGCCUGAGAACUACGAGCACAAACGCUUAAAACUCUAAGGACUUGGCGGUGUCCCAAACCCACCUAGAGGAGCCUGUUCUAUAAUCGAUAACCCACGAUACACCCGACCACUUCUUGCCAAAACAGCCUACAUACCGCCGUCGCCAGCUCACCUCUUUUGAGAGCGCCACAGUGAGCACAAUCGCCCUAACCCCGCUAACAGGACAGGCCAAGGUAUAGCUCAUGAAGUGGAAGAAAUGGGCUACAUUUUCUAGCUUAGAAAACUCACGAAAAGGGGCAUGAAAGAGCCCCUAGAAGGCGGAUUUAGCAGUAAAGCGGGACAAUAUAAGCCCCCUUUAAGCCGGCCCUGGGGCACGUACACAC
rnacentral:rRNA from 1 species